rnacentral:misc_RNA from 1 species
UCCGGUUUGUCACCGGCAGUCUCGCAUGAGUCCCCAACUAAAUGCUGGCAACAUGCGACGGGGGUUGCGCUCGUUGCGGGACUUAACCCAACAUCUCACGACACGAGCUGACGACAGCCAUGCACCACCUGUGAGGGUCCGGCCGAACCGACCCCGUGUUUCCACGGGUGCGACCCACAUGUCAAGCCCAGGUAAGGUGGGGAUGACGUCGACGUCAUAACC